rnacentral:rRNA from 1 species
UUGCAUGCGCAGCUACCAUGCAGUCGUACGAGAAGGUUCCUUCGGGAACUGGAGAGUGGCGCACGGGUGAGUAACGCGUGGGGACCUACCUCUUAGUGGGGGAUAACGGUUGGAAACGACCGCUAAUACCGCAUACGCCCUUCGGGGGAAAGAUUUAUCGCUAAGAGAUGGACCCGCGUUGGAUUAGAUAGUUGGUGAGGUAACGGCUCACCAAGUCAGCGAUCCAUAGCUGGUUUGAGAGGAUGAUCAGCCACACUGGGACUGAGACACGGCCCAGACUCCUACGGGAGGCAGCAGUGGGGAAUAUUGGACAAUGGGCGCAAGCCUGAUCCAGCCAUGCCGCGUGAGUGAAGAAGGCCUUCGGGUUGUAAAGCUCUUUCAGAUGCGAAGAUGAUGACGGUAACAUCAGAAGAAGCCCCGGCUAAUUUCGUGCCAGCAGCCGCGGUAAUACGAAAGGGGCAAGCGUUGUUCGGAUUUACUGGGCGUAAAGGGCACGCAGGCGGUCCUGCCAGUCAGGGUAA